rnacentral:hammerhead_ribozyme from 1 species
GCACUACUGAAGAGUCCCAUACUAGAACGAAACGGACGUCUGAUGC